GUAUUCUGUCAGCACUGCAGGGGUGAAAGGGUGAAUGAGUUCAUUACCCUUACAGUCUCUCUUCUUUUAGGAAAUGUACAUCCUAUUCCAGAUAGCCCACUGACAGUGAAUAUAUAUCGACUCUGCACAGCAAUACGAGGGAUUUCCAACAUAGUUGGACCAUGGACUGAAACAGCGCCCACAGCAAAUUGAAAUUCCCUUGAAGAAUCUCCCUUUCUGAGUAAUGACUGUAAAGGCAGCUGAAGUCUUCAGUCCUUUGGCACGCAACAACCAAACACCUGUCACACACCUUCAAACCAGCCUUUGUAGGAGGUGCAAUGUGGGAGAUCUGUGUGUGAGGAUGUAAGAGGGAAAUUAACUGAAAAGGCCUCCUGCUCCUGAGAGGAGAUGAAUACACUCAGUCAAACCAGUGUUCUCUGUCCUGGCCCUGUAUCAACCCGCUGAAGAAUGGCAGCAAAUCAGUAGUUUGAUUAUAUAAAGUAAAACCACAGGAGGGGCAUGCAUGGUACGUAGCCUAUCGGAUUUCCUGUUAUCUAUUGCCUGAUCUCCCGGACGACGUUAC